rnacentral:rRNA from 1 species
UACGAAGGGGGCUAGCGUUGCUCGGAAUCACUGGGCGUAAAGGGUGCGUAGGCGGGUCUUUAAGUCAGGGGUGAAAUCCUGGAGCUCAACUCCAGAACUGCCUUUGAUACUGAGGAUCUUGAGUUCGGGAGAGGUGAGUGGAACUGCGAGUGUAGAGGUGAAAUUCGUAGAUAUUCGCAAGAACACCAGUGGCGAAGGCGGCUCACUGGCCCGAUACUGACGCUGAGGCACGAAAGCGUGGGGAGCAAGCGGG